AGUUGUCUUUCCAUAAUUUCCCCGGGAUGGGAGUGUUGUAGACCGGUCCUUCACUUAACUCUCAUCUUUCCUCUUUAUUAGUUCGAUCUCCAACACGGAUGGAAUGAUGGGCGUGUCUCCUUACACCUGCUGUCCUUGUUCACCUAGCAGUCAGUGUGCUCAAGAACGUCAGGACUACCCCAAUAUCUGUGAUGACCUGACCAAGCUGACUGCUAUGACACUGCUGCUUCUCUCAUCAUAACAAAUGAAACUGAUUCUCAACAAUUUGAUGCCAUAUCAGACAAUGGUUGCUUUCUAUUUGUCUACCGAGAUUUGCUUUAUUGAUUUUUUUUACCACAUACAGUAGGUCCCCUACUCAACAUUCCUGAAAAUCUUUAGUCAAUUGUUCAAUUCUAAACUUGUUUAUCUAUAGACACCCAUGUUAUAAGUUGAAAUUCCCUCCUUCCCCUCUCUAGUUUCAUUAAAAUAAUUACAAAGAAGAUUUUCAAUAUUUUACAUUCAAUACUGUUCAUCUUCACUUACAAAUAUUAAACUUUUAUAGAAAAUACAUAUGGAUUACAACAUUAAGCAACCAAGAAAAAUAUCCAAAAUUCAGUUGUACUUUGUCUGGCAAGGUGUCCAUUUCCUUUUGAACACUACACAAAUAACCCGCACAUAGAAGAGAGAAGCUUACGAUGACGUUUCAGUCCGUCUUGGACCAUUUACAAAGUCAGCGUGACUUUGUAAAUGGUCCAAGUCGGACCGAAACGUCGUCGUAAGCUCCUCUCUUCUAUGUGCGGGUUAUUUGUGUAUCGUUCCAGUCACGGUAUUGUGCCUUUUUUUGUUAUUUCCUUUUGAAGUUGUACAAGAUUUAAAUUGAAAAACCAACCAUAAGACUUAAGUUUUAAAAUAUACUCUUUGGAUUAUUUUUUUUUAUUUUAACACUGGCCGUUUCCUACCAAGGCAGAGUGGGUCAAAAAAGAAAAACUUUCAUUCACUCCAUCACUGUCUAGCCAGAGGCAUGCUUACACUACAGUUAUAAAACUGCAACAUUAUCCAUACACAAAUUGUUUCUGGUCAGUCUUUCUCAUCUAUGUCAGUAUAAACCAGUUUAAAGUGCUAUUCAAAGAUUGUUCAACAGUAAAAGUGAAAGGGCAAGUGAACUGUGUGCUGUAGCAAUGUGUGCUUAACAGCUGCAGCACCAGUUUCCACUGCUGUGUCCUCUGCAGCAGUAAGUACUCCUGCUGAUUCCAAGGUGCCAAUGUCAAAAGUGGAACAUCAUAAGUCAAGAGCUUCUGUAUUUUCCUCUUUUAGUCAUCCCUUGCUAUAUUCCAGCAACUUUUGCCAUACCCAGUUCUUCAACAAUGCAUGUCUAAUGCUACAGUCCCUCCUAGCAGUAAGCCCUAGUUCAAUUAUCACUUAAUAUACCACAGCAAUUUUGUUGCAACACAUCAA